rnacentral:pre_miRNA from 1 species
GGCAAUAUCACGAUGUGCUGUUGAUUUAGUGAACACGACAGACACUGUGACAUUGCA